rnacentral:lncRNA from 1 species
CAGGUUGGUGAUAGAUGGGGGAACCCCAGUGCCAAGCUUUGGGUUUCGAUGUCAACAAGAAAUGUUCCAGAGAAUGGAGGACACAUUCCGAUUCUGCGCUUACUGUAAAGCACUCCCCCAUGGCCUUUCCAGUUGCAAGGUUCUGCGGCACUGUAAGAGGUGCAGAAACGUCUAUUACUGUGAUGCAGAGUGUCAGAGGUCAGACUGGCCAGCACACAGGAAGGUGUGUGGAGAGCUCCGUCUCGUGGCUGUGGACCGUGUCAUGGAAUGGCUUCUGGUCACAGGUAGGGUGUAAUUGUUAGGAAACUGCACUGUAACAGCAGCUGAUCACUUAGCUGGAACUAAAUAAAAGCAUGGUAUUCUAAGGGAAAAUGCAGAAACCGUGAUAAGAAGUGGGGAUACUUGUAGUUACAGGUUGGCAGAAUAAAUAUGGAGGAAUUAUUGAGGAGGGAAUUUGAAACCCAAGGAAGGAUUUGAUGUUUCUUUUUAAAGUAUAGGUCCGGAGGCUAGAAGAGGGCAUGGGAGCUCCUGGAACUUGAAUUACAGGAGAUUGUGAGUUCCCCAAUUUGGCUGCUGUUAACCCAACAGCAGUUUGCCCUCUUCUCUCCAGCCCUGUUUAGUAACUCUUUCUGCCC